AGUGAACGCUGGCGGUAGGCCUAACACAUGCGAGUCGAACGGCAGCACAGUAAGAGCUUGCUCUUACGGGUGGCGAGUGGCGGACGGGUGAGGAAUACAUCGGAAUCUACUUUUUCGUGGGGGAUAACGUAGGGAAACUUACGCUAAUACCGCAUACGACCUACGGGUGAAAGCAGGGGAUCUUCGGACCUUGCGCGAUUGAAUGAGCCGAAGUCGGAUUAGCUAGUUGGCGGGGUAAAGGCCCACCAAGGCGACGAUCCGUAGCUGGUCUGAGAGGAUGAUCAGCCACACUGGAACUGAGACACGGUCCAGACUCCUACGGGAGGCAGCAGUGGGGAAUAUUGGACAAUGGGCGCAAGCCUGAUCCAGCCAUACCGCGUGGGUGAAGAAGGCCUUCGGGUUGUAAAGCCCUUUUGUUGGGAAAGAAAAGCAGCAGGUUAAUACCCCGCUGUUCUGACGGUACCCAAAGAAUAAGCACCGGCUAACUUCGUG
rnacentral:rRNA from 1 species